rnacentral:rRNA from 1 species
UACGGAGGAUCCAAGCGUUAUCCGGAUUUAUUGGGUUUAAAGGGUGCGUAGGCGGAUUGUUAAGUCAGUGGUGAAAGCCUGUAGCUCAACUACAGAAUUGCCAUUGAUACUGAUGAUCUUGAGUACAGUUGAGGUGGGCGGAAUGUGUCAUGUAGCGGUGAAAUGCUUAGAUAUGACACAGAACACCGAUUGCGAAGGCAGCUCGCUAAGCUGUAACUGACGCUGAGGCACGAAAGCGUGGGGAUCAAACAGG